rnacentral:misc_RNA from 1 species
UACAGAGACCUCAAACGUUAUCCGGAUUCAUUGGGCGUAAAGGGUCCGCAGGUGGUUUGAAAAGUUCAUGGUUAAAUUCUGGGGCUUAACUUCAGAACUGCUAUGGAUACUCUCAAACUUGAGACUGGGAGAGGCAUACGGAACUAUCGGUGUAGUCGUAAUAAGCGCUGAUAUCGAUAGGAACACCAAAGGCGAAGGCAGUAUGCUGGAACAGUUCUGACACUCAGGGACGAAAGCGUGGGUAGCGAAUGGG